UACAGGGGGGGGCAAGCGUUGUUCGGAAUUACUGGGCGUAAAGGGCCAGUAGGCGGCCAACUAAGUCCGACGUGAAAUCCCCAGGCUUAACCUGGGGACUGCGUCGGAUACUGGAUGGCUUGAAUUCGGGAGAGGGAUGCAGAAUUCCAGGUGUAGCGGUGAAAUGCGUAGAUAUCUGGAGGAAUACCGGUGGCGAAGGCGGCAUCCUGGACCGACAUUGACGCGUGAGAGACGAAAGCUAGGGGAGCGAAUGGG
rnacentral:rRNA from 1 species